GUCCUCCUGGUGCUUAUCACAGGCUGUGUCUUUAUACUGACUAUAUAGAAAGAAAACACAAAGUAAACCUACUGCAUGUACAUCUCAACCCAGGUCCUAGGCCUGGUCUGUGUUGUGAAUGGGGAGACACGA
rnacentral:snoRNA from 1 species